GUAAUACAUCGGAACGUGUCUUCUAGUGGGGGAUAACUGCCCGAAAGGGCAGCUAAUACCGCAUGAGACCUGAGGGUGAAAGCGGGGGAUCGCAAGACCUCGCGCUGGAAGAGCGGCCGAUGUCCGAUUAGCUAGUUGGUGAGGUAAAGGCUCACCAAGGCGACGAUCGGUAGCUGGUCUGAGAGGACGACCAGCCACACUGGGACUGAGACACGGCCCAG
rnacentral:rRNA from 1 species